GAUGAACGCUCGCUACAGGCUUAACACAUGCAAGUCGAGGGGAAACGAUGAGAGAGCUUGCUCUCUUAGGCGUCGACCGGCGCACGGGUGAGUAACGCGUAUCCAACCUACCCAUUACAGGGGGAUAACCUUGCGAAAGUAAGACUAAUACCCCAUGGCAUUUUAUGGUGGCAUCAUUAUAGGAUUAAAGAUUUAUUGGUAAUGGAUGGGGAUGCGUCUGAUUAGCUUGUUGGCGGGGUAACGGCCCACCAAGGCAACGAUCAGUAGGGGUUCUGAGAGGAAGGUCCCCCACAUUGGAACUGAGACACGGUCCAAACUCCUACGGGAGGCAGCAGUGAGGAAUAGUGGUCAAUGGGCGAGAGCUUGAACCAGCCAAGUAGCGUGCAGGAUGACGGCCCUAUGGGUGGUAAACUGCUUUUAUAGGGGAAUAAAGUGAGCUACGUGUAGUUUAUUGCAUGUACCCUAUGAAUAAGGACCGGCUAAUUCCGUG
rnacentral:rRNA from 1 species